rnacentral:lncRNA from 1 species
AUGUAUAUGAAAAUUAAAUUUGAGAAGCGGGGCGAGAAUGAAAACCAAUAACCUACCUCUGGGGCUCAGUCUCCGGUCCUGGGUUGUUCUCCCCAGGAACUGCUGGGCAGGCAUACUUGGCAGGACAUAAUGUUUUAAAAGGUGGGCUAAAUAAAGUGGUGGAGUCAUAUGUGGCUGUGGAUACAGAAAAGUAAAGGAAAGACUGGAGAAUUGUAAGUUAAUUCCUCCUGUUAGAUCAUCCGCGUUAACCCUCUUUUAAGAGAGCAACUCCUAGAAUUCAAGGCCUCCCUUCUUUUUUCCCCCACCUAGAAAAAUAAGCGUUUGUGUUUACUAACCAAGGGUACUGAAGUCAGAGCAGUACAGCCUACUAACGAGUCCCUCCUGUAGUCUAUCCAUCUAGGCCAAUAGGACUAGUGUGUCUGGAAUUGGUGAAUUCUUGGUCUCACUGACUUCAAGAAGGAAGCUGUAGACCCUCGCAUUGAGCGUUACAGUUCUUAAAAAUGGCGUGGACCCAAAGAGGGACCAGCAGCAGGAUUUAUUGUAAACACCAAAGAGCAAACCUUUCAGCCUCCUGAAGGGGACCCCAGUAGAUUGCUAUUGCUAGGUCGGGCAGCCUGCUUUUAUUCCCUUAGCUGAUCCCACCCACAUCCUGCUGAUUGGUCCAUUUUACAGAGAGCUGAUUGGUCUAUUUUACAGAGAGCUGAUUGGUCCAUUUUACAGAGAGCUGAUUGGUCCAUUUUGACAGAGUGCUGAUUGGCACAUUUACAAACCUUGAGCCAGACACAGAGUGCUGAUUGGUGCAUUUACAAUCCUUUAGCUAGACACAGAGUGCUAGACAGAAAAGUUCUCCAAGUCCCCACUAGAUUAGCUAGACACAGAGUGCUGAUUGGUGCAUUUACAAACCUUGAGCUAGACACAGAGUGGGUACUGAUUGGUGUAUUUACAAACCUUGAGCUAGACACACAGGGUGCUGAUUGGUGCAUUUACAAUCCCUGAGCUAGACACAGAGUGCUGAUUGGUGCAUUUACAAUCCUUUAGCUAGACACAGAGUGCUCGACAGAAAAGUUCUACAAGUCCCCACUAGAUUAGCUAGACACAGAGAACUGAUUGGUACAUUUAUAAACCUUGAGCUAGACACAGGGUGCUGAUUGGUGUGUUUACAAACCUUGAGCUAGACAGAGUGCUGAUUGGUGUAUUUACAAUCCUUUAGCUAGACAUAAAGGUUCUCCAAGUCCUCACCAGAUUAGCUAGAUACACAGUGCUGAUUGGCGCAUCCACAAACCCUGAG